CAAACAGACCCAGUGGUUAUCUGUUGCUAUUUAUUUACGAUUUAUUACUUUUAAAUAUACAAUUGUUGGGUUUUCCCAGGAUUGUUGUAUAUUUGCUGUCUUUAUUUGCUUUGAGGAUUCAAAAGGAACUGGUAGGUCACUAGCUGUGUGUGUGUGUGUGUGUGUGUGUGUGUGUGUGACUUGCUGCAGUGUUACAUUUUAAAGUCACUCCUUUGAUCUACAGGCAGGUGAGUGAUGAGGUAGUUGCUGUGUAUUGUAAUGCGAAGGAUCACCCUCCCAAGUUCUGGUUGCCCCCAGUGAGGAGAAAUCUUCACUUUCACCAAAUGAUGCUAUGUAAUCUUUCUCCCUAGGUUAUCCCUAGUUGGUCAAUAAAGAUGCCUACAGCCAAUCAAGUUGGUCCUGGGCUUGGGGUCUGAGUCAGAGGCCAGGAAGACAGAGAGGGGAAGAGAGAGGAAAAUACCAUGAGGAACACAUUAAGACUCAACCAUGGUGGGAGAAAGUCAUCAGCAGAGGAUGCUGGGAACCAUGACUUCCUGGAGGCAGCUCUUCCACAGGAGCGGAGCCAGUGUUCUCAGCGAAAACAGCC
rnacentral:lncRNA from 1 species